rnacentral:lncRNA from 1 species
ACCGUCUGUCUGAGAGGCACAUAUACACACAACUACACACAUGCACACACAACACACACAUAUAUACACAACUACACACGUACACACAACUACACACGCACACACACAGCACACACACCUACACACACUACACACAUGCACACACAACUACACACAUGUACACAACACACACUACACACGUACACACAACACAGAUACACACUACACACGUACACACAACACACAACUACACACAUGUACACACUACACACACACACACAACUACACACAUGUACACACAACACACAACUACACGCGCACUCACACAUACACACAACUACACACAUACAGCACACACGUACAUACAACUACACACACGCACACACAACACACAAGUACACACAUGAACACAACACACUACACACAUGUACACACUACAUAUGCAUACAACACACACAACUACACAGAUGUACACACUACACAGAUGUACACACAACACACAUACACAACUACACACAUGUACACACAACACACAUAACUACACACGUACACACAACACACAUAUGCAUACAACUACACACAUAUACACACAACACACAUGCACACACAACUACACACAUGUACACACAACACAACUACACACGUGUACACACAACACACAUACACACAACUACAUACAUGCACACAAAACAAAUAUUCAACACAAUGCAUGCAUGCAGCACAG